UUAAAUUGAAGAGUUUGAUCAUGGCUCAGAUUGAACGCUGGCGGCAGGCCUAACACAUGCAAGUCGAACGGUAACAGGAAACAGCUUGCUGUUUCGCUGACGAGUGGCGGACGGGUGAGUAAUGUCUGGGAAACUGCCUGAUGGAGGGGGAUAACUACUGGAAACGGUAGCUAAUACCGCAUAACGUCGCAAGACCAAAGAGGGGGACCUUCGGGCCUCUUGCCAUCGGAUGUGCCCAGAUGGGAUUAGCUAGUAGGUGGGGUAACGGCUCACCUAGGCGACGAUCCCUAGCUGGUCUGAGAGGAUGACCAGCCACACUGGAACUGAGACACGGUCCAGACUCCUACGGGAGGCAGCAGUGGGGAAUAUUGCACAAUGGGCGCAAGCCUGAUGCAGCCAUGCCGCGUG
rnacentral:rRNA from 1 species